rnacentral:rRNA from 1 species
AUUGAACGCUGGCGGCAGGCCUAACACAUGCAAGUCGAGCGGAUGACGGGAGCUUGCUCCUUGAUUCAGCGGCGGACGGGUGAGUAAUGCCUAGGAAUCUGCCUGGUAGUGGGGGACAACGUUUCGAAAGGAACGCUAAUACCGCAUACGUCCUACGGGAGAAAGCAGGGGACCUUCGGGCCUUGCGCUAUCAGAUGAGCCUAGGUCGGAUUAGCUUGUUGGUGAGGUAAUGGCUCACCAAGGCGACGAUCCGUAACUGGUCUGAGAGGAUGAUAAGACACACUGGAGCUGAGACACGGUCCAGACUCCUACGGGAGGCAGCAGUGGGGAAUAUUGGAAAAGGGGCGAAAGCCUGAUCCAGCCAUGCCGCGUGUGUGAAGAAGGUCUGCGGAUUGUAAAGCACUUUAAGUGGGGAGGAAGGUUUGUAGAUUAAUACUCUGCAAUUUUGACGUUACCGACAGAAUAAGCACCGGCUAACUCUGUGCCAGCCGCCGCGGUAA